rnacentral:rRNA from 1 species
UACGAAGGGGGCUAGCGUUGCUCGGAAUCACUGGGCGUAAAGCGCACGUAGGCGGAUUGCUAAGUCAGGGGUGAAAUCCUGGAGCUCAACUCCAGAACUGCCCUUGAUACUGGCGGUCUCGAGUCCGGGAGAGGUGAGUGGAACUGCGAGUGUAGAGGUGAAAUUCGUAGAUAUUCGCAAGAACACCAGUGGCGAAGGCGGCUCACUGGCCCGGUACUGACGCUGAGGUGCGAAAGCGUGGGGGGCAAACAGG